GACGAACGCUGGCGGCGUGCUUAACACAUGCAAGUCGAGCGGUAAGGCCCUUUCGGGGGUACACGAGCGGCGAACGGGUGAGUAACACGUAGGUAAUCUACCUUCGGGUGGGGAAUAACGUCUCGAAAGAGACGCUAAUACCGCAUAAUGCAGCGGCACCUAAUGGUGAUUAGUUGUUAAAGCGGGGGAGUCUUCGGACCUCGCGCCUGAAGAGGAGCCUGCGGCAGAUUAGCUAGUUGGUGAGGUAAUGGCUCACCAAGGCUUCGAUCUGUAGCUGGUCUGAGAGGACGGCCAGCCACACUGGCACUGACACACGGGCCAGACUCCUACGGGAGGCAGCAGUGGGGAAUUUUGGACAAUGGGCGCAAGCCUGAUCCAGCCAUGCCGCGUGCGGGAAGAAGGCCUGG
rnacentral:rRNA from 1 species